UGUUUGGGGAGUGCUCAGAACAGGUUGCAGGAGCCCUGCUUCAGCCAGCUCAGGAGGAAAGUGAUCCAGAGAGAGGCCAUGUAAAGAGGGAAAUGUCCUCGCACUCAAACACAACCACCACGCAGCGCAGUUCCAUAGCCCCGCGGAGAGACAGGACAUUUUUCUGGAGCUGCUGGAGAGAACAGUCAGAGAAGCCUGGGGAGGAAGAGUUGAUGCCUUCUGGAGUUUCUUGUGGCGGGUGGUGGGUGGUGGGGGGAGCCCUUUCCGGGUGUCAACUUUUUCUUUCCUCUCUUCCCCCAGCUCCUGUUUUCAUCCUUACCAAUGAGAAUUCAGCUAAUUGUUUACUCCAGGCUUGUGCCUGUCACCAACUAACCCAGGAGGCCCUCAGAGCCAAGCCCUGCCCUUUGCCUCAUUCUUUGUAACUGGACACCUGCAAGAGUGCUGGGCACACAGUAGGUGCUCCAUAAAUGCUACUCAAAUGGAUAAGUAGGAUAAAUAAAUGCAGAGUUUGGUAGUUCAAGGUUGGGCGCAGUGGCUCACGCCUGUAAUCUCAGCACUUUGGGAGGCCAAGGCAGGCAGAUCGCCUGAGGUCAGGAGUUUGAGACCAGCCUGGCCAACAUGGUGAACCCCCCACUCUACUAAAAAUGCAAAAGUUAGCGGGUGUGGUGGGCACCUGUAAUCCCAGCUAUUUAGGAGGCUGAGGCAGGAGAAUCGCUUGAACCCGGGAGACGGAGGUUUCAGUGAGCCAGACUGCACCAUUGCACUCCAGCCUGGGCAACAAGAGUAAAACUCUGUCUCAAAAAAAAAAAGAAAAGAAAAAAGAGUUUGAUAGUGCAGAAGUGUGGCCUAUUGCCUGAGGCCCACAGGUGGUGCAGUGGGACCCAGGAAGGGUGAGAGAGAGACAGGAGCUUCCCCAUCC
rnacentral:lncRNA from 10 species